AGGUAGUUUUCCAGAUAAACUUGUCCUGGAGAGAUACAAGGAUUUCAAAGAAUUGAGAUAGCCAAUUGAAUCUGGUAGUUCUCCAGAUAAACUCGUCCACGAGAGAUCCAAGGAUUUCAAAGACUUGAGAUGGCCAAUUGAAUCAGGUAAUUCUCCAAACAAUUUGGU